rnacentral:tRNA from 1 species
GCCGGGGUGGCGGAAUUGGCAGACGCCCGGGACUUAAAAUCCCGUCCCCCGAAAGGGGGGUGCGGGUUCGAUCCCCGCCCCCGGUACCA